AGUCAGUGGGGGUAGACGCGAAACCAAGUGAUCUACACUUGGCCAGGAUGAAGUCCCGGUAACACGGGAUGGAGGUCCGCACCAAUAAGCGUUGAAAAGCUUCUGGAUGAGCCGAGUGUAGGAGUGAAAGGCCAAUCAAACUUGGAGAUAGCUCGUACUCCCCGAAAGGCAUUUAGGUGCCGCGUCGGAUGGUCACCGUGAGAGGUAGAGCGACCGAUAGGACAAGAGGGCUUCACCGCCUAUCGAGUCCUGACGAACUCCGAAUGCUCACGGUCUGCAGUCCGGCAGUAAGGGGGCGGGUGCUAAGGUCCGUCCCCGAGAGGAGAAGAAUCCAGACCGCCGUCUAAGGUCCCGGAGUUCUGCCUGAGUUAGUCUAACGAAGUCUGGUCCCUAUGACAGCUAGGAUGUUGGCUUGGAAGCAGCCAUUCAUUCAAAGAGUGCGUAACAGCUCACUAGUCGAGGGUCCGGGCAUGGAUAAUAAUCGGGUAUAAGGCAGACACCGAAGGCGCGGGAUAGCAUUUAAGAAAGUAUCGGUAGGGGAGCAUACUCACAGCGUGGAAUGGUGUACGUAAGUUAUCCUGGAGCGGUGAGUAAAGCAAAUGUAGGAAUAAGUAACGAUAAGGAGGGUUAGAUUCCCUCCCGCUGUAAGACCAAGGUUUCCCGGGCAAUGCCAAUCAGCCCGGGGUCAGUCGGGUCCUAAGUCUAAGCCGAACGGCGAUGGCGAUGGCAGAGACGGUUAAUAUUCCGUCACUGCCGCAUGGGGCGACGUGGAGACGGAGCAGUGAAACCACCGCGGGGCGACGGAAGUCCCCGUUGAAGAGUGUAGGUGUUGAGGAUGGCAGGCAAAUCCACCGUCCGAGCUGAACUUGAUAGUAUGGAGUCUUCUUCGGAAGAAUCCAAUAGUGUGGGUAAUCAUACUCCCGAGAAAAUCCGCUAAGCUUAACCCAUGCGGCACCCGUACCGCAAACGGACACACGUGGUCGGGUAGAACAUACUAAGGCGUUGAGAGAUUCAUGGUUAAGGAACUAGGCAAAUUGACCCUGUAACUUCGGGAUAAAGGGUCCUCGUGAUGAGCGAGGCGCAGAGAAUAGGUCCAGGCAACUGUUUAACAAAAACACAGGGCUGUGCAAACUCGAAAGAUGACGUAUACAGCCUGACACCUGCCCGGUGCCGGAAGGUUAAGAGGAGAUGUCACUCGCAAGAGGAAGCAUUGAAUUGAAGCCCCGGUAAACGGCGGCCGUAACUAUAACGGUCCUAAGGUAGCGAAAUUCCUUGUCGGGUAAGUUCCGACCUGCACGAAUGGUGUAAUGAUCCGGACGCUGUCUCAACCAUGAGCUCAGUGAAAUUGUAGUAUCGGUGAAGAUGCCGAUUACCCGCGAUGGGACGAAAAGACCCCGUGAACCUUUACUACAGCUUAGCAUUGACCUUGGUCAUCCGAUGUGUAGGAUAGGCCGGAGGCUUCGAAGCGGGAGCGCCAGCUUUCGUGGAGCCAUCCUUGAAAUACGGCCCUUUGGCUGUCUGAGGUCUAAC
rnacentral:rRNA from 1 species